rnacentral:rRNA from 1 species
CCUACGGGGGCUGCAGUGGGGGAUAUUGCACAAUGGGGGAAACCCUGAUGCAGCGACGCCGCGUGUAGGAAGACGGUCCUCUGGAUUGUAAACUACUGUCCCCAGGGACGAAGAUGACGGUACCUGGGGAGGAAGCUCCGGCUAACUACGUGCCAGCAGCCGCGGUAAUACGUAGGGAGCGAGCGUUGUCCGGAAUUACUGGGUGUAAAGGGAGCGUAGGCGGGGAUGCAAGUUGGGUGUUAAAUCUCCCGGCUCAACUGGUAGUCGCACUCAAAACUGCAGCUCUUGAGUGAAGUAGAGGCAGGCGGAAUUCCUAGUGUAGCGGUGAAAUGCGUAGAUAUUAGGAGGAACACCAGUGGCGAAGGCGGCCUGCUGGGCUUUUACUGACGCUGAGGCUCGAAAGUGUGGGGAGCAAACAGGAUUAGAUACCCUAGUAGUCGC